rnacentral:tRNA from 1 species
AGGGGAAUAGUGAAACGGUUAUCACUACGGUCUCCAAAACCGUCAUUCAGGGUUCGAAUCCCUGUUCCCCUGCCA